UACGGAGGGAGCUAGCGUUGUUCGGAAUUACUGGGCGUAAAGCGCGCGCAGGCGGUCCUUCAAGUCAGAGGUGAAAGCCCAGAGCUCAACUCUGGAACGGCCUUUGAGACUAGAGGACUUGGGUACGGGAGAGGUGAGUGGAAUUCCGAGUGUAGAGGUGAAAUUCGUAGAUAUUCGGAAGAACACCAGUGGCGAAGGCGGCUCACUGGCCCGUUACCGACGCUCAGGCGCGACAGCGUGGGGAGCAAACAGG
rnacentral:rRNA from 1 species